UCUGGCAAUCUUUUUCCCUCCUGCUUCCUCCUACUUGGUCAACUUGAAGAGGGGAUUCUACCCUGGCGUGCUACUGCCCUGUUUGGUUACUUCUUCAAGGUGCUAUUGCUUACCCUUGAUAUCACAGGCUCUGUUUCACACUACUUUUGGUACAGCUCUCUCUAGCUUGCGUGUUUUCUCCUUAAUUUGGAUAUUGUGGCACUGGGUUUGUGUUCUUUUUGGUGGUCCGUGAAGAAUUAAGUACUAUUGACUGCUGAAAUUUUAUUUGAGGAUUGGGCAUUAUUGAUUUUGCUAUACUACUAUUGAGUGUGUUCCCAUCCAAGUCUGGUUGUAUUUUGCUUAAGGAGGGGAUAUUUGGUUAUGAACUAUUCAUGCUAUUGUGCUGUGGUGGUGUUUGCUUUGGGAUUUUAAGCUUUUUGGUAGGUGUUAUUACACCUAGAAGCUACUGUGAGCUUUGGCAUGACUACUCGAAGUGUUUUUUUGCUUUGGAACAUUGUCAUUACUCAG
rnacentral:misc_RNA from 1 species